GCCCCGGGCUAAACUCUCGUCUGGCGAAGUGAAGAGCGCAAAGUCUCCAGGCCCAGCGCGCCUUGGCGGGGCAGGCCGGCCACCUUGGCCCCGGGCCAGGCUCGCACUUCUCUGAAGCCCUGGAGCGGGCAAGGGGCACCAUUCUGGCCACAGGAACUCUAGUUUCAGCAGCCGCAGCCCGCCAGCGCUGGCUCGGACCGGGGCCUCCUCUGGGAGAGUAGGAGAGCGAAAAAAUCAACCACCACCUUGGAUUUCAGAUCGAGGAAACGAAGCCAAAGCAAAGGUGUGGUUACACAGGACAUCCAUAGCCACACCGUUGCCUCUCCUAAGUGGGCCUGCGCUUUGCCGCUCCAGAAGCGCGAGGCGCGGUUGGUGCGGUCGCGGGGGCGUGGGAGUCACCGCUCUCCCCGCAGCCCUGGCCACGCUCUCUGCUGUCCUCCCAAGUUUGGGCCAGGGACCACGGCUCACUCCCUAACGCCCUCGCGAGGACGGCUGCCCGUCGGGCCAAGGGCGCCCUGGGCUGGAGGCCGGAGCAAGACGGCCCCGCGGGACUCGGGAGCCUUGGUAAGGCGGAGGCUCAGACCCCGUUCACGAAAACGCCUGGCUCCUCCAGGAUUUGUCAUGUCUUAAGCAGCUCCGAGAAGGCUCCGCUGGCUCUUGGGGAACCCCGCUGUGCGGCUCACCCGCGUUUGUCUCUCUCCAGCUCUCGCCUUCCUCCCCUGGUCCUCCCUUCACCAGAUCCCCUGCCUUGCCCGAGUCCCGGGCCGCCCGGGCGGAGCCCAAUACGCCCGGAGAAGAGCGCCGGAGCCCCCUGCUGGCCGGACGCGGCAGGCGCGGCGGCCUGCUCGGUCCCCUCCGCCCCGCGGGCGCUGCCCAGCCCGGACCCGCCUCCACCCUCCAGCGCCCUGGCGCUGGGGGCGUGCUAAAAGCAACAGAAAACAAAACAAAAACAAACAAAGCGCCAAACCCCACUCUCACCUCGUCUACUGGUCAAAGAUGGAGUCUUACUCUGUUGCCCAGGCUGGACUGAAAAUGGUGCCAUCCUGGCUCACUCCAACCUCCGCUUCCUGGGUCCAAGUGAUUCUGCUGCCUCAGCCUCCUGAGUAGCUGGGAUUACAGGCACAAACCACUACACCAGGGUAAUUUUUGUAUUUUUAAUAGAGACGGGGUUUCACCAUGUUGAUCAGACUAGUCUCAAACUCCUGACCUUGUGAUCUGCACACCUUGGCCUCCCAACCAAGAUUUCUUUAACAUGUCUUUUGUCAAUAACCCUUUCUGCAGUGUCUGCAUGAUUCUCAGUCAACCAAAUUAUUUCUCUCUUAAUUCAGAACAUUAGCCAUUAAGAGCAAUUUGUUAUUUCUUGCCCUUGUUUAUCAUUAAUGGUAUGUAUUUUACCUUUUGCUAAUCUCAUCAUUUCCCUUGACAUAUUUGGGAAAAUGCCCUCAUUCACUUUAUUUCUCUACAAUAAAUCCAUUCUGCCUUACAUAUUUGAUUGUUCUAUUUGUACAUCAUAGUUGAGGUAACCUAUGCUUAGUUAAGUUUCUUCGUUUCUUUAUUUCCAGUAUAGAUGUUUCUUUUCUGGGUGACCAUUUUUGUGUGUGGAAAAAGAAUGGGUUCUUUCUUGCUUUUUUAUUUUUUAAAUCUAUUCUUGAUGGCAUGUACUUAUUUAAAAUAUGCUUUAUAACUUGGAUAUGUGGAUAUCCUUUUUUGUUUUUAAAAAUUGAAGGAUUGUCUGUGUGGCUUCAUAAGUAUUAUUUAUAUUCACGGUUUUAGCAUUCAUUUGUUUGAUUUUGAGCUCUUCUACGAUCCAAAUGCCGCUAGAUAUAUCACAGAUUAACUGAUGGUUAGAACAGCUUUUUGAGAUUUUGAUUAGGAUAACUUUUAAGAGGUUGGUUGUUUUAGAAGGCAGUUAAACAAAAUAAUAAUAGUUUUAUUAACCUUUUAUUACUUAAAAAUAGUCAUUGUAAUGGGUCUUUAACAAAGGGAGAGCAAGUGUUUAACAGAACUCACCUUUCUGACAUAAAACUACCAGAAACCAAUUAUUUUGCAUCAUCAAAGAUCGAAUAAAAGUUACAAAGAAGUACCAUUAAGUAUGGAUUAAUAUUUUUAAGUCAUCUAAGCACUUAUAGCACAAGUAUCAAUUCAGAUUUCACAAAGACAAACCUGCAAUUCUGAUUUUUUAAAAAAUAUAUCAGAGGAAUUUUAAAAUAUAUUUUUAAGUGCAUUGAUCAAAAGUACAAUAGUCUCCUAUAGUAUAACUGUGAUUUAGAAAACAGCCAAGCCCUGAGUUUCUAGCAUGUUUCUGUGAGAUCUGUUUUUCAUCUGUCAUUUAUAUAAAUUAUGCAAAAGUUCACUGUGUCUUUAUUUUAUUUCUUCAUUUUUCUUUGUUGCCAGCAUCAUUGAGACAAAUUCAAAGGUCAUUUAAAAUGACCAAAAUCAAUCUACAGCAAUAUUUAAAUUUUUAUUCCAUGAAAAUGUCUGAAUAAAUCUAUAUUCAUACAAUAUAUUUUAUGGUGUACAAAUAAUAUUCAAUGGGAUCAAUUUAAGUAUGAAUACCAAGGAUUGUAAGAAUCCUUCCUCUUAUUUGGAGAAGAAUUCUAUUUCCCACAACACAGUAAACUAAAGCCUGCAUACUACAAACCUGAAACACGCUAAAUAAAAUUUGACAUCCUAUUAAAUAAAUAUGUGAAGUUGUAAGAAA